AUCCAAUUCCUUGUGGAGAGCAGCACAGGCAUCUGCCUCGUAUGAUAUGCUUCGUUUUCUACUAGCCAUCUAACUGCACUACAGUAUGUUACUAGAAAAAUUGCGAUCAUCAAAAUACCAAUUUAUUUCCCAUGGAGAAAAUCAUUUUUUUCCCAUGUCUCCCAGAGCAAAACAUAAAAUAAUAGUAAAGAACAGAAUGUUGACCCACUGAACCAUUUAUGCACAAUUUGAAAGAGCAGACUGAAACCGAAAUAAAUGAAAAGAUGAAACUAGCCCCAGGUGUUUUUCUUCUCUCUUGUUUUUUAUUUUUUAUUUUUAACCUUCCAAACAAACACACACAUGUUGCCCCUUUCUUUCCUUUUCUUAUUCUCCUCCUCCUCUCACUUCUUCUUCAUUAUAUUUUUUGCUGUCUUUUGUUGAGCGGAGAGGAAGGUUUAAGGUUCUUCUAUGGUGAAGCUUUGCCCUAGUGAAUAGCUUUCCUACAUUAACUACGCAUUCAAUAUCACAAAAACUAACAUAACUUAAACCUAACACUAACAGAGUUAUUAAUCCCAUAUAGGAUGGGACAUAGUAGUGUAGGAUCUAUAACGAUAUCUUUCAUCCAAUAGAUUGGGUUGGGCAUAUUCCAAUUGAUGCAGAAGUUAAAAUAACUCCUAUGAGCCUACACAUGAUUCACAACCAUAGUAACUAUUAAGGUCUCCAACCAUAUUAUUAAACAUUCAGAUAAAAUUGGCCAUGUAAUCAUUUACCAAGAAACAUUCUAACAGAAUUUCACACAAGUACUACAGCUGCAUACCAUAUUUUUCCAAAUCAAGAGGGACAGAAAAAUUAAAAAACCAGCAACAGACUACGUAUUACACAAUCAACUGCAGACGAAUAAGCCCCACAGCCUCUUGAAAAUAACCACUUAUACUCUCACUACGGAUAGCCAACUAGCAGUGAUAAAGAAGGAAUAAAUGCCACUUCAGCACCUAUAAGCCAUAUGAGGAAAACAAUCUUUGAACAAGAUGUGGAUGCCCAAGGAUAAUGUUCCUCUAGAUAUUUCACUAGUAGAUUGCUCGCAGUUUUUAUUCAGAAGACUGAUGAAUGUAUCCAUACAGAUAGAGACUUUUGGAUGCAUCCUGAGCUAUUUGUCCAAGUUAUGACUUACCAGAUGCACUCAUGCAAAUGUUCCUUACCUGAGGAUCAUACCUAACUGUCAUAAUAAAAUUGAGGCCCCUAAAUACUUCAGUGCCACUUCAAAUGAUGAUAUUAUACAAUCGUCAUUUUGAGAGAUGAGACCCAAGCACAUUUGGAUUGCUGAUAUGAAUCUGUUUUCCUCCCACAAGUUGAAGACACAAAAAGCUAUCUUCAUGCUUAAUCAAUCAUUUCCGGUCGAUCUAUAGAAAAACAGUCGUUCACAGAAACUAAACUCACCAUAAGUAUACAACCGCCCCUACCCCACUGCAACACUAUCCGACGAUAUAAACAUACCACAACUUCUAAAACUUCACGUGAAAACAAUCUAUGAAGACAUCAGGAAAGCAAAAGAGAGUUCAAAGUGAAGUCCAAACUUAUUGCCCUGUGAAGUUGUAGUAUAAUGUGAAAUGAAAGCAACUGGUGGUUCAGAUAGGACAGGGCAAUUCCCACGUAAAGAAGACAAACCAGCAGAGACAGUGAUGGAUUCAGUCAAUGAUAAGAAGCUUGUAGUUAUAGAA